rnacentral:tRNA from 1 species
UCCAGGGUAGCCCUAGUGGACAUGGCAUCUGCCCGGUAAGCGGAACAUUGUGGGUUCGAUUCCCAUCCCUGGAC